rnacentral:misc_RNA from 1 species
GUAGGUGAACCUGCGGAAGGAUCAUUACCAAAUCCAAUACCCAACCCCUGUGAACUUGUAUUGUCUGUCUUUGGGGGGCGGGAGAAGCCCUAGUGUUUCCUUCCCCCCCCCAACAUUUAACUAAACAACUUUUUAAAUUUUUUUUGGAAUUAUACUUUUAUUAAUAAUAAUAAAAGACAACUUUUAACGGUGGAUCUCUUGGCUCGU